rnacentral:lncRNA from 1 species
UUAUGGUCUCACUUUUUAGCAUGUUAUUCCAUUUUCAAUAUUCAAAUAUGUCUAAGCACCCUAAUAUACAUCUCAUGUAUAUUAAAGACAAACUAAUCAAGGAUGAUCAUGGAAUUUUCUAGUAAAACCAAUUUGUGCCAAAAUUGGUUUUAAGGUCCACCUAGGUAUCAAGCAAGCAAUAAUGAUUAUGAGACAUCUUAUGCCUCAAAUUAUUACAAUUAUUAGUCUCUAUUUGAGAGGCCAAAAUAUCAUUGGAAGUGCUGCAACGAUCCAAAAAGUCUUCUUGCUCCAAGGCAUCAUAAAUACGUCGUCCCUCCUUUUACAAUCAUCUUAUAGAAAUUACAUAUUUAGAAGAAUUGUGGUACAAAUUUAGGGGUAAUGGGAUACAAUCAGAUCUUAAUAGAGGGAGGGACAUGCAAGUCCCUAUUUAAAAAUAUUACAACCAUUUAAGCCUUUAGAAAUGGGCCAAAUCAACAAAUAAACCAAUAGUUCAUUCAAUCACGCAUAUAUUCAAUCAUCACAUGACAUAAAUCUAUCAUAAAAUAUCUAGGUCUUUCCAUGAUCAUCCUUCAUGCUAUUAUAAAUGGAAAUAACAGAAAUCAUGCUUCAAAAAUUUAAAAUUUAAUGAAGAUGGCUCUGAUACCACUUGAAGGACAACAUUUGUCCAUGGGGUUCCUAAAAAUGAAACUUUUGUGCAGUAAAAUUAAAACGGAUGGCGGAAGCUCUAGAAACCUCGGAUCGACUUCAUUAAAAAAAUAAAAUCAAGAGGAAAGAUUGAAGUUUAAUUACCUCACUUGUAGUUUCAAAAACGACUUCGUGAAGUAGGAGAAAAUGACUGAAAACAGCAAGCUACGAACACUGUCCAGAAAAUAGACCUCUGCACGAACAGCUUUUGUUUUGCCAUGAUUUGAGAUCCUUAAAGCACCCCAAUUGUGAUACCUCUAACCAGUCCAGACUUAUAAAUUUUUUAGGAGUUCAUAGGGUUUGGA